rnacentral:tRNA from 1 species
GGCUUGGUGGCUGAGUAGUAAAGCACUUGGCUUCCAAACCAGAAGUCCUGGGUUCAAAUCCUGGUGAAGAUU